UACGAAGGGGGCUAGCGUUGCUCGGAAUUACUGGGCGUAAAGGGCGCGUAGGCGGACAGUUUAGUCAGAGGUGAAAGCCCAGGGCUCAACCUUGGAAUUGCCUUUGAUACUGGCUGUCUUGAGUUCGGGAGAGGUGAGUGGAAUGCCGAGUGUAGAGGUGAAAUUCGUAGAUAUUCGGCGGAACACCAGUGGCGAAGGCGACUCACUGGGCCCGAUACUGACGCUGAGGCGCGAAAGCGUGGGGAGCAAACAGG
rnacentral:rRNA from 1 species